GACGAACGCUGGCGGCGUGCUUAACACAUGCAAGUCGAACGGAAAGGCCCUUUUUUUGUGGUGUGCUCGAGUGGCGAACGGGUGAGUAACAUGCGAGUAACCUUCCUUUGACUUUGGGACAUUUUCAGGAAACUGGGGCUAACACCGGAUAGGUGCUCCUUCUGCAUGGUGGGUGUUGGCUAGUUUCGGUGGUUGGGGAUGGACUCGCGGUUUAUUAGCUUGUUGGUGGGGUAGUGGCUUACCAGGGCUUUGAUGGGUAGCCGGCCUGAGAGGGGGACCGGCAACAUUGGGACUGAGAUACGGCCCAGACUCCUACGGGAGGCAGCAGUGGGGAAUAUUGCACAAUGGGCGGAAGCCUGAUGCAGCAACGCCGCGUGCGGGAUGACGGCCUUCGGGUUGUAAACCGCUUUCGCCUGUGACGAAGCGUGAGUGACGGUAAUGGGUAAAGAAGCACCGGCUAACUACGUG
rnacentral:rRNA from 1 species